UCCUCUCCUCUCCUUCACCCUCGCGAAUCACUGUCUCUCCGUCUCCUCCUCCGGCGACGACUCAGACGAGCAGUUAAAGGAGUCGCGCAGCUCACUUUGACGAUUCGAUCGACCUCAGAUUGCUGCAGCUGUGGAGCUCCUCAUUCGACGAUAUCCUCCUCCUCCUCCAGUCGGCUAUUCGCUGGAUCAUCGCAAAUUGGUGCAGCUGUGCAGCACAAAAACAGGUGAGUUUCUUACUUUGGUGGGUGAUUGGAGAAGAAGCACCCAAAUAUUGAAACUUAAAUGAAAUCAACACAGGAAAUGUGAAAAGAAUCCAAAUUUCUGAAAUUUAGUCUCUGAAUUUUGCUUACAAUUGAAUCUCACUGUUGCAGCACGAUCGGAUUUGAGGGACCUUGGGGCUGAAAUAGUGUUUCAGUUGCUGCCGCCUCGAUCAUCUGGUAGCUGUCUGGUCGAUCAGUUAUUCCAAUCUCUAUUCUGGUAAUGAAACUACAAUAUUUUUCCAAAUGAAAGUUAUGCUUCUAUACCACUAUAAUAAUAGUCGCUUUAAAUCGUUUACUGAAUGCACACUAUCUGCUUUAAGUUUCAUUUUCUAGGUGAAGUAAUACUUCACUUUGUUAGCUACCGUAUUAUUAGUGAUAUCGGAGAUAUUGUAAAUAUGUUAUGUAGGAUACUGCUGAUAAGGCAGAUCGUAUAUAUUAGGAUAGUUAAAGUUAAAUAUGGUAGGAGUAUGAUUCCAUAUCGAAAGGGAAUCAGUACCUAAUAGGACAGUAAACUACAGACCUACUCCUAUAUAUGUAUCCUAGUAUUCCAGCAAUAAAAAACAAGUCAGAAACGAUACCUCUGGAACUUAUAUGGUAUCAGAGCCAUCUUACUAAAAGUAGUAUAGCUUCUCAUCCAUGGCGCCAGAACCAGUCAGCAGUGAUUCCAUCAUCGAUCCAGUCACUACCAAUGUAUCACACACUGCUCAGCCAAUCGCUGCAGAUAAUCCACACCUGCAGAUCACAACGAUUAAGCUGAACGGAGCAAACUAUGUGCGCUGGUCACAGUCUGUGCGCAUGUACAUCAGAGGGAGAUCCAAGAUUGGAUACAUCACCGGGGCUGCUACCAAACCGGAGGAGACGGACCCUGCCUUUGCAGUAUGGGAUGCUGAAAACUCUAUGGUGAUGACAUGGCUCGUCAACUCAAUGUCAGCAGAGAUUGGGGCCAACUACCUGGGGUACAACACAGCAAAGGAGCUAUGGGAUGAUGUGGUAGCUACCUACUCGGAUCUUGGAAACCAGUCGCAGGUAUACGAACUUACCCAGAAACUGGCUAUGAUUGUUCAAGGAGAGGAUUCUGUUACACGUUAUUAUAAUCUGUUGAAACAAGUGUGGCAAGACUUGGAUCUAUUCAAUGACCAUGUCUGGAAAUCAGUUGAUGAUCAUAGGUUUUUUACGAAAACUGUGGAAACUAACAGAAUUUUCAAGUUUUUGGUGGGCUUAAAUGCCGAGUUAGAUGAGGUGCGUGGCAGGAUUAUUGGGCGUGACCCUCUUCCCACUAUAGGAGAAGUGUUUAAUGAGGUCCGUCGAGAAGAAAGUCGACGCCGUGUUAUGCUGGGAGGAAAAACCCAGCCAGUGCCUGAAGGGUCUGCCCUUAUUACUGGGAAACAGAAGGAGGCUGCCCCUGAAGCGAUGGUAGCUUACAAAGGGGGAUCCCAUCGUGGACCUGAUCCUAAGGCCCACUUGAAGUGUGACUACUGCGGAAGGACUAGGCAUACUCGUGAUCGAUGCUUCAAGCUGCAUCCAGAAUUGCGAAAUCCAGCUCCUAGUGCUCCCAGUGACAGCAGCUACCAGCCUAGAGCUCACAACGCUGUGAGGCAACCAGAAGGUGGACUGCUCAGCAAAGAACAGCUGGAGCAGAUUCUGUCACUACUCAAGCCACAGUUGUCUCAGUCUGGUAACCCUACUGAUUCUACAGCACAUUCAGGUAACGUACUAAUGGCACGAUCUAUGAGGAAUUGGAUAAUUGAUUCUGGAGCCUCAGAUCAUAUGACACAUGAUUCACUAUCCUUUAUUACAUAUGCAUCACAGUCAGGAUUUAAUAAGGUCAAAGUGGCUGAUGGUAACCUAGCUCCGAUUGCAGGCAUUGGACAUAUUCCUAUAUCCAAAGACCUUACUCUAAAAUCUGUUCUACAUGUUCCUAAGCUGUCCUAUAACUUUCUAUCCUUUUCAUUGUACCAUUCAGGAUCGGAGCUCGGGGAGGGUGAUUGGCAGAGGUAGGCAGAAGGAAGGGCUCUACUACCUAGAGGAGGAAGGGCUUGGUGUUAAAAAAGGUCAGAGCUUGGCCUGUGCAAGUUCUGCCCCUGUCUAUGAACAGAUCAAGUUAUUACAUUCUCGCUUUGGUCAUCCUAGUUUUCAAUACCUAAAACAAUUAUUUCCCAGCUUAUUUCAAGGAAUAAAAUUGUCUGUUUUUCAAUGUGAUGCCUGCCAAUAUGCUAAGCACCAUCGAACAAGCUUUCCUAGUAGGGGUUACUCCCCUUCCAAACCAUUUUAUUUGAUUCAUAGUGAUGUAUGGGGGCCGUCAAGGAUCCCGACUAUUUCUGGAAAAAAAUGGUUUAUGACCUUUAUUGAUGAUCAUACCCGAAUGAGUUGGGUAUAUUUUUUCACUCACAAAACUGAUGUUAAAAAUAUUGUUAAACAGUUUCACAGCAUGGUUAAUACACAAUUUGGAGUCAAAAUUGCUAUUUUAAGAACAGACAAUGGGACAGAGUAUUUCAAUUCCUAUCUAACUGAGUUUUUAAGGUCCCAAGGAACAAUCCAUCAGUCCUCAUGUUCUUACACUCCCCAACAAAAUGGCAUCGCUGAGCGUAAGAAUCGGCACCUCCUUGAGGUAGCACGAGCCUUAAUGUUCUCAGCCAACGUCCCUAAAUAUUUAUGGGGAGAUGCAGUGUUAACAGCAGCUUACUUAAUCAACCGUGUGCCUAGUAAACUGCUGUCUUUCCAAACCCCUGUUAAAAUUUUCAGCAAAUGUUUUCCAGAAACAAGAUUACUGGGGAAUUUACCCUUAAAAACGUUUGGUUGUAUUUGCUUUGUUCUAGUUCCAUCUCAAUUUCGGACAAAACUCGAUGCUCGUGCACAAAAGUGUAUUUUUCUUGGCUAUGCAGCCACUCAAAAGGGCUAUAAAUGCUUUAAUCCAGUUACUAAGCGAUCAUUUGUCACAUGUGAUGUUGUUUUUUGGGAACAGCAACCCUAUUUUUCACAGAAUUUGCUUCAGGGGGAGAAUUCUGAUAACUUACAGUCCGGUUUUGAAGCAAAUUUUUGGGAUACUGAAAACAUAGAUUCGUUACCUAUCCCUAUACCUGAUAAUGUGAGUCAUAGUUUCUAUGAUCAGACCAUGACAGGGGGAGAAGCUCAGGUAGAAGUAGUGCCACCCACUACUAAUUCUAACCUUCAGGUUUACACCAGGCGACCUAGACCUACGGGUGUUGUUGCCCCAACUUCCAUUCCUCCAACUAAUCACUCGAAUGAACCGAGCAAUGAGGAUCCUAGCAAUGGUGCAGAAACACAGACCAGUACCUUAGAUCCAGGUAUUCAAUCCAACCCAGACUCAGACCUUGGUUUUCCGAUUGCUCUCAGAAAAGGAAUACGAGCAUGUACUAGAUAUCCUAUCUCUAAAUAUGUGUCAUAUGCAAAGUUGUCCAAUACUCAUAGAUCAUUCGUGUCAAAGGUAACUAACCUAUUUGUGCCUAGAAACAUAGAGGAAGCCAUGAAUGAUGAGAACUGGAACUUAGCAGUGCAGGAGGAAAUGAGAGCAUUAAGGAUCAACGAUACUUGGGGGAUGGUUAAUUUGCCAGCAGGAAAAAAUGUUGUGAGCUGUAAAUGGGUGUUUACCAUCAAAUUUAAAGCUGAUGGCACAGUUGAAAGAUAUAAGGCCAGACUUGUGGCACGAGGAUUCACACAGACAUAUGGACUGGAUUUCAAUGAGACAUUCGCACCAGUGGCAAAGCCCUCAACAAUACGGGUGCUACUUUCUCUGGCUGUCAACCAAGAUUGGCCACUUCACCAGUUGGAUGUCAAAAAUGCAUUCCUCAACGGCACGUUAGAUGAGGAAGUAUACAUGACACCUCCACCUGGAUUCGAAACACAACUGGGACAAGGAAAGGUAUGCAAACUGAAGAAAUCCCUCUAUGGACUGAAACAGUCCCCCAGGGCUUGGUUUGAGAGAUUUGGAUCAGCGGUUACUCGCUUUGGGUUUAAUCAGAGUCAGGCUGAUCAUACCAUGUUCAUUAAGCAUCUACCUAACAAUAAGCUCGUAAUACUUAUUGUGUAUGUGGAUGACAUAAUUGUAACAGGAAAUGAUCUUGAAGAGAUCAAGCUGAUCAAGAACAAUUUGGCACAAGAAUUUGAAGUAAAAGAUCUAGGACCACUGAAGUAUUUCCUGGGUCUAGAGUUUGCAAGAUCUGCUAAUGGUCUAUUUAUGAAUCAAAGAAAGUAUACAUUGGACCUGCUGGAAGAGACAGGGAUGAUGGAGUGCAGACCAGCAACAACUCCUAUGGAUGCAAAUCAUACCCUACGAGUAUGUGAGAAGAACGAAAUCAAGGAUCAAGAACGCUACCAGAGGCUAGUUGGAAGGCUGAUCUACCUGGCUCACACUCGACCAGACAUAACCUUUGCUGUGAGUGUAGUAAGCCAGUUCAUGCACAGUCCAGGAGCUAUGCAUUUUGAUGCAGUCUAUCGAAUACUCAGGUACCUAAAGGGAUCACCAGGAAAGGGGCUGAUGUUCAAAAAAGGGAAUAAUUUCCAGGUUGAGGCUUAUACUGAUGCAGAUUGGGCAGGGAAUCCCAUUGAUCGAAGAUCAACAUCAGGGUAUUGUGUGUUUGUUGGAGGCAAUCUGGUUUCUUGGCGUAGCAAGAAACAAAAUGUGGUGGCAAGAAGCAGCGCAGAGGCAGAAUACAGAGCAAUUGCUCAGGGAGUAUGUGAGGUUAUUUGGCUGAAGAAAUUACUCGAGGACCUACGGAUAGCGGUACCAAAACCAAUCAGAUUGUACACUGACAGCAAAGCAGCCAUAGCUAUUGCUCACAAUCCAGUCCAACACGACCGCACUAAACAUGUGGAGAUCGACAGGCACUUCAUCAAGGAGAAACUAACUAGUGGCUUAAUCUGUAUGCCAUACAUUCCUACAACAAGUCAAGUCGCAGACAUCUUCACCAAAGGACUCUACGCAGGACAAUUCAACUAUCUAGCAAGCAAGCUGGCUAUGGAAGAUAUCUUCGCACCAGCUUGAGGGGGAGUGUUAGCUACCGUAUUAUUAGUGAUAUCGGAGAUAUUGUAAAUAUGUUAUGUAGGAUACUGCUGAUAAGGCAGAUCGUAUAUAUUAGGAUAGUUAAAGUUAAAUAUGGUAGGAGUAUGAUUCCAUAUCGAAAGGGAAUCAGUACCUAAUAGGACAGUAAACUACAGACCUACUCCUAUAUAUGUAUCCUAGUAUUCCAGCAAUAAAAGACAAGUCAGAAACGAUACCUCUGGAACUUAUACACUUUUAUAACUUAGUUUGAUUGGAAACUAGUUGUUGAUUGGAGUAAUGUUGGAUUUACUACAUUUGGCAUCCUUAUAUCUUUGAAUGGUCUGAGUUUGGGAACCACUAUAAUUUGGUUAGUCGAACUUCUUGAAUCUAUUUCUAGUUUCUUCCUGUGUGAAGAGAAAGAAAAUGUGUAUGGUGAUGGUCCCGUUUUUAGCGUAAUAAUUGGAGGUCCAUGACAUUGACAAUUGG
rnacentral:lncRNA from 1 species